ACAAAUACAACCCCUCGCUAUCCCACCCCAAACAAUCUAAAGCGAGAAGUUCACCUAACAACACAAUUCAAUAACAAUAAGCAAUAUCAGAAAUACGCAGCGGUAAACGAUAGCAAGAUAACUAGCAUUAUGCUAAUUACAAGCUCAUCACCAAACUCAAAUUCGACUUAUACCAAGGUCCAAUAACCCGAAACACGAUAUAAUAUAUAUAACAAACUCGG
rnacentral:lncRNA from 1 species